GAACCGACUAAUGUUGAAAAAUUAGCGGAUGACUUGUGGCUGGGGGUGAAAGGCCAAUCAAACCGGGAGAUAGCUGGUUCUCCCCGAAAGCUAUUUAGGUAGCGCCUCGUGAAUUCAUCUCCGGGGGUAGAGCACUGUUUCGGCAAGGGGGUCAUCCCGACUUACCAACCCGAUGCAAACUGCGAAUACCGGAGAAUGUUAUCACGGGAGACACACGGCGGGUGCUAACGUCCGUCGUGAAGAGGGAAACAACCCAGACCGCCAGCUAAGGUCCCAAAGUCAUGGUUAAGUGGGAAACGAUGUGGGAAGGCCCAGACAGCCAGGAUGUUGGCUUAGAAGCAGCCAUCAUUUAAAGAAAGCGUAAUAGCUCACUGGUCGAGUCGGCCUGCGCGGAAGAUGUAACGGGGCUAAACCAUGCACCGAAGCUGCGGCAGCGACGCUUAUGCGUUGUUGGGUA
rnacentral:rRNA from 1 species